AGAGUUUGAUCCUGGCUCAGGACGAACGCUGGCGGCGUGCUUAACACAUGCAAGUCAAGGGGGCCCAGCAAUGGGCAACCGGCGAACGGGUGCGUAACACGUGAGCAACCUUCCGAAAUAUGGGGGAUAGCCGGCCUAACGGCCGAGUAAUACCGCAUACGCUCUCGAUGAGGCAUUUCAUUGAGAGGAAACUUACGGGGUAUUUCGAGGGGCUCGCGGCCUAUCAGCUAGUUGGCGAGGUAACGGCUCACCAAGGCAACGACGGGUAGCUGGUCUGAGAGGAUGGCCAGCCACAUUGGGACUGAGAUACGGCCCAGACUCCUACGGGAGGCAGCAGUGGGGAAUCUUGCGCAAUGGCCUAACGGCUGACGCAGCGACGCCGCGUGCGGGAUGAAGCUCUUCGGAGUGUAAACCACUGUUGCCCGGGACGAAUAGCUCGAUUAAUCGCGCCUGACAGUACCGGGUGAGGAAGCACCGGCUAACUCCGUGCCAGCAGCCGCGGUAAUACGGGGGGUGCGAGCGUUGUCCGGAAUCACUGGGCGUAAAGGGCGCGUAGGUGGUUUGAUAAGGGUGUGGUGAAAGUCCGGGGCUCAACCCCGGAUCUGCCGUGCCGACUGUCAAACUCGAGGACUGUAGAGGCAGACGGAAUUCCGGGUGUAGCGGUGAAAUGCGUAGAGAUCCGGAGGAAGACCGGUGGCGAAGGCGGUCUGCUGGGCAGUUUCUGACACUGAGGCGCGACAGCGUGGGGAGCAAACAGGAUUAGAUACCCUGGUAGUCC
rnacentral:rRNA from 1 species